rnacentral:lncRNA from 1 species
AGAGCUCUCUGCCGAUACUCUUCCAACCCCAGUCGAUUCAAGUCACCACUUGAGAUGUGCCUGGUCCUGGGAGGGCAUUCGUGGUGAGAUAUUCCCCCCAUCCCCGGAAGUCUCAUCCGAGACCCCUCCUCCAAGUCAGGUGUAAUAAAGAAUGCCAAUAAAUCAUGCCUAGUCAUGACAUGAAAUUGCAUGGCAGCGAGCACACCUCCGGCACGAAGAACGUUCACACACCCCGGGGGGGCCGCACCCAGACCUGUUCAACCAUCCCACAGAUGUGAGUCUGAGAAACUCCAGUGUCGUGGAGUUCAGGCCUUCACCUUCGUCUGGGUGGGGCUACAUACGUGGAGGCCCACAAAGGGGGUGGGCGUACCUGAUCAGACUCAGGUAGCCCGCUGCCACUCUGCCCCUGUGACUACUCACAGUUUUCUUGUCUUAGGGACUUUCAGAUAAAGGGAUUCCAAAUCUUAACGGGAAAAGCUUCAAGGGCAAGGAGGACACACCAGGCCCAUAAAAGAUAAUACUUGCACAAGAGUAUAGCACGUUGAAAUUUCCAUGUUUUUGUUUUUCUCCUCCAAACGUUGACCAUGGCACACCCUGGAUCUAAAAACCUUCAGAAGCUCUCAUGGCCUGAAAACAAGCACCGUGGCUUACAAGGUACUUCUCAUUAUGGCCCCAGCAUCUUCUCUCCAGUGUUCCCUUAUACGUCCUAUGCCCCAGAGGCACCUGCCCUUCGUUAUUCCACAACAGUCUGGACCAUCCAUUCAUUUAUUUAUCAAUAUUUAUUGGGCACCUCUUGUGUCCACACCCAAGUGCUAAGUGUUGUCUCCUACCUGUGCCCCCAGAGUUCACUCAGGCUCACAUGCGCUUCAUUUUUUCCUACCCCAAGGGGAAUAACUGUUGUGUUUUGCCUGUUCAGCAGCCAUCACCCCUUCCUCUGAGGUCACAGCACCUCAGUUUCGCUCCAGGGAGCCACCCCGCCCCUCCUCUCAAGUCCCAGGAUUGCGUGUGGACUGACACCAACCCAGGGUUCCGUGGUGAACUUGGGACUCCUGCCAGGCCUCUGGGAUCAUCAGAUCCACCCAGCAGAAGUGAUGGGCUGAUCCAGGAAUGGGCUCAGGAUCUAGUCAAGUCCAAGAUCAAUUUCUGGAUUUCUUAGACUGUCAUGAUGCAGGACUUUCUCCUCCUGGAUGUGAAGCUGUGAAGAUGCUGGAGGCCCCCUUGUCUCCUUGCAGAGGAAGUCUGACUGAGAAUCCUAAGGAUCAGGAAGCCUCAAGGUGGUGCCAGGGGAGAGGAAGAACACCAGGGCUCCAUGUUUGGAGUCCAGAUGCUCCUGAGCUCUUCUGUUGCAGAAGCCAGUAUAUUCUCAUUUUGCUCAAAAUAGUCGGAGUUGGAUUCUUUCACUUAAAACCAAAGUCCUGAGCUCUAGAUAAAGCUUCAGAACCGUUUCUGUACAGUCCUUCCUCGCCCUUGAUUGUCUGAUCCUUUGCCAGGAGGAAAGAGCCCUGGAUGUGGAGUCAGAAAACCUGACGUUAAGCCUAGUUCUGCCGUUUCCUAACAGCUGGGCCUUGGGGUAAUCGCUUUGCUGAGUAUCAGUGUCCUCAUCUUUAAAAUGGACCUAAGAAUGCUUCCAAGGUUGUUUCAAUUAAAUGAAAUGACACUCAUUGAUGCACUUUACAAAAUUUGCCACAGCAGCUAGAGAUUCUCAUACUAAGUCAUAAAGAGAAAGACAAAUACCGUAUGACAUCACUUAUAUGUAGAGGCUAAAAUAUGGCAUAAGUGAACCUAUCUACAAAACAGAAACAGACUCACAGGCAUGGAGAACAGACUUGUGGUUGCCAAGGGGGAGGGGGAGGGAGUGAGAUGAACUGGGAGUUUGGGGUUAGUAGAUGCAAACGAUUCCAUUUAGGAUGAAUAAGCAAUGAGGUCCUGCUGUACAGCACAGGGAACUGUAUCCAAUCACUUGUGAUACAACAGGAGAAGGUAAUAUGCAAAAAUAGAAUGUGUGUAUAUAUAUAUGUAUAACUGGGUCACUUUGCUGUGUCAUAGAAAUGACAGAACAUUGCAAAUCAACUGUAAUUUUUUAAAAACUUGAAAAAAAAGAAAAUAACCAGAAGCAAAGGGGAGAAAAAAAACCUCUCUUCCCAUAAAAAACUAAAAUUUGUUAUCAAAACUCAAUGAUAUAGUAUUGCAAUAUGGAUUUCUUCAAUCCUAUGCAAAAAGCUGGUCAUCUCUGGAUGUCUGUUACAGUGUUUCAUGCCAUUCAUGUGCAGCCCACAGUUCUGGGAAGCACUGAGGGCUGCAUCGUGGCUUCCUCAAGGACACACCGGCACGUGCUGUGUUUCUCACCCCGGCUUCUCCAGUCAUGGCCGAGAGGAUCACACGUGGGCAGACACCACAGCCAAAGGACGUCGGAGUACAGGGUCUGCCCUGUGAUUCAGCAUCUGCUUGGCUUAAACACACAACGUAGGUCAAUCAGAUUUUCAUUCCUGUAGAUUUGACCUCCAAGGCACUCUUGGAGACGAGAACAUGAGAUGAGAACUCCUGCGGGUGAGCGCUGACGGGUGACCAUGUCGGGCUGAGUACAGUCUAAAGGCACAAGGAGGCCUGUCUUCAGAGGCAGGAGAUUGGAGAGGAGAUGAAAGACCAAAUGGAACCAGAGAAAGAAAGAAAACCGAAGGACCGCCUCAGUCCUGAACGGCCUCUGUUCUCCUGGAUGGAUGCAAUGCUCUGCUCUAGGAUCCCUUCAUCCCCACAGCUAACACAGCGUUGCCUUGGGCCAGUCCGAGUAGUGUCUGUUCCUUGCAACCAGAAGAGCGCUCCUGAGAACCGUGCUGGGUCCCCAGCGCCAUGGGGAACCCAGGGCUUCUGGCAGCUCAAUGAGAGGCCCAGGGUCACACAGUGACACAGAAUUUGCCACCUCUGGGCUUUCACUCCAUCUGGAGCUCUUGGUCUAGGGAACCCAUUGUGAGGUUUCCUCUCACCGGGAGAGAGGAGGGUGUGUGCCUAUUGGCCCCGCCUCCCUUUCCAGCCACACUUAGGAAGGAUGAGUUUAGAAACUGGCAUGAGUCGGGCUCUUGAAUUCCACUUCAUCUCUGAUUAUUGCUCACAGUACCCGUUGCUCUUAAAACACAUAUUCAGCAGUGGUGUGGCAGAGAGAUGCACAUAGAAACGGCUCCCGUCUACUUCCUCUGCCCACCAGAGAUGCACAGAGCUAUGGGUAUUAGCUCUUCCCAUUGGUAUAAGCUGGGAUGGUUUUCCAUUAAAGGCGAAGAUGAGUGCCCCUGAAGUCCAUGAAAAAUCACACGCCCUCUGCCACAUGGCUGUUCUCAGCUGCUCAGGAGAGAGGUGGAAAUAACAAGAGCCAGAACAGGGAUUUGCUCUCCCCCGAAGUCUAGGCUGACUAGCCAGUGCUCCCCAGUCCUCCCUCUUUACUGCAGAGCUAGCUGUGGGCCUCGGUCACCCCUCCCUGCACAAACCCAGUUAAAGCCAAUCAGUCUCUUUGUCUUGGGAUUGUCCUGUGCUGGAGCCAAUUCAUCCCAGCUCACAGGAGCCCAUCGUGACAUCGGCAGACGUCUUGAGAGGCGGUAGCUUAACGUUGGCCAGGAUGGGAGUAUAUCCUUCACGGAAAUCACCAAAUGUACAAACCAGCCCCUCCCCCAAAGAGCUGGCCCUUAAGCCUUUACCUGCAUGUCACGACCACUGCUCAUUUGCCUUGGGAGCUACUGUGACAGGUACCAUCUGCACGUGGCUCCAUUUACAGUCUAGACUGGUUUCAGCCUCCAUGAAAGGCUGAGGGUGGGGGUGGGGUGAGGCAGAGCUGGAGAGAAGCUACAAGUACCCCACGUGCAGGUAAGUCAGUCACUUGGCAGUGAUCCUGGUUUGGGGAUAAAGUAACCUUUCCUAAAUGCAGGCAGGACUCUGCUUUGUGAAUCAACAGCUGGUUUUUUUAUUUUUGUUUUUUGUAUUUUAAUUUGCACUGGUUUUAACCAGAGCCUAGAAGAGGGGUUUGGCUCCCCUCCCCGGAAAGAUGGUGCUUUUGAGAUCUUUGCUCAGGGCUGUCAAACACUGUGCUCAGAUCCUGUCCUGGGAAAACCUGGAGAAUGAUGCUGCCUGCAGGCUCACCCCCCAGAGGCAGUGGGACCACAGAUGACCCGUGACGACCUGCUGCGGGCAGGAGGCAGGGCAGAGGUCAAGGAUCCCAAAGGCUGACGUUGUGGGUACAAAGCCAUCAUCACUGUGAGCCCUUAGGAAGAAGCUUGGUCAGAGGCACCAGCAUGCACGUCCACUUUAGUGAGCUUCAGGGGUCUCUGGGAAGCUUGUUAAAACUGAAGAAUUCUGAUUUGGUGAGUGCGGGACAAGACCCCAGACUCUGCAUUUGUAGUGGCAUCCGGGGUGAUUAGAAGUCCAGUGGUCCUCAAACCUCAUUUUCAGGUCACCUGGGGUCAAAGCUAGGCGUGAGUGAUGCUUUUUAACUAAGUAUCAAAGAUGUCUGCGUUGUUUUUAUGGAGCUAUGAGCAACGUUCCUUGGCCAGUGAUUCAUGAAUGAGAAAUUUCUUCACUGUGCUGUGAUUAACACAAACAUAAUAAUGGAAAAAUCCAUAUUUACGUGGACAACAAAUUCGAGAAUGACUACAGGAUGAAAGACUUCCCCAAAAUCUUCCUUAAAAACUAGGAAGAACACAUUCACCGCGAGAGAUUAAAUUUUUUAGUCAGUCAACUACAUGAGCUCCCAAGAACACCAAGGAUUCCAGCAAGAUCAAAGUCACCCCAACUUCCUAGCCUAGGUGCUGAUUAGAAUCAGGGAAGCCAAAGCUAACACAGGCUAUCUGUU